rnacentral:rRNA from 1 species
GACGAACGCUGGCGGCGUGCUUAACACAUGCAAGUCGAACGGAAAGGCCCUGCUUUUGUGGGGUGCUCGAGUGGCGAACGGGUGAGUAACACGUGAGUAACCUGCCCUUGACUUUGGGAUAACUUCAGGAAACUGGGGCUAAUACCGGAUAGGAGCUCCUGCUGCAUGGUGGGGGUUGGAAAGUUUCGGCGGUUGGGGAUGGACUCGCGGCUUAUCAGCUUGUUGGUGGGGUAGUGGCUUACCAAGGCUUUGACGGGUAGCCGGCCUGAGAGGGUGACCGGCCACAUUGGGACUGAGAUACGGCCUAGACUCCUACGGGAGGCAGCAGUGGGGAAUAUUGCACAAUGGGCGGAAGCCUGAUGCAGCAACGCCGCGUGUGGGAUGACGGCCUUCGGGUUGUAAACCGCUUUCGCCUGUGACGAAGCGUGAGUGACGGUAAUGGGUAAAGAAGCAUCGGCUAACUACGUG